UACCUGCAGCUCGAGUGGUAACCGCUAUUAUUGGGCCUAAAGCGUCCGUAGCCGGUUUGGUAAAUAUCUGGGUAAAUCGUGAGGCUUAACUUCACGAAUUUCGGAUAGACUGCCAGACUUGGGAUCGGGGGAGGUCAGAGGUACUCCAGGGGUAGCGGUGAAAUGUUGUAAUCCUUGGAGGACCACCGGUAGCGAAGGCGUCUGACUAGAACGAGUCCGACGGUGAGGGACGAAGCCCUGGGGCGCAAAACCGGAUUAGAUACCCGGGUAGUCCAGGGUGUAAACGAUGUGGGCUUUGUAUUGGAGGUCCCACGUGGGCGUCCAGUGCAGAAGAGAAGUUGUUAAGCCCACCGCCUGGGAAGUACGGUCGCAAGGCUGAAACUUAAAGGAAUUGGCGGGGGAGCACAGCAACGGGAGGAGCGUGCGGGUUU
rnacentral:rRNA from 1 species